CCUACGGGUGGCAGCAGUGGGGAAUAUUGCACAAUGGGGGAAACCCUGAUGCAGCGACGCCGCGUGAAGGAAGAAGUAUUUCGGUAUGUAAACUUCUAUCAGCAGGGAAGAAAAUGACGGUACCUGACUAAGAAGCCCCGGCUAACUACGUGCCAGCAGCCGCGGUAAUACGUAGGGGGCAAGCGUUAUCCGGAUUUACUGGGUGUAAAGGGAGCGUAGGCGGUUUAGCAAGUCAGAAGUGAAAGCCCGGGGCUCAACUCCGGGACUGCUGUUGAAACUGUUGAACUAGAGUGCAGGAGAGGUAAGUGGAAUUCGUGGUGUAGCGGUGAAAUGCGUAGAUAUUAGGAAGAACACCAGUGGCGAAGGCGGCUUACUGGACUGUAAAUGACGCUGAGGCUCGAAAGCGUGGGGAGCAAACAGGAUUAGAUACCCCUGUAGUC
rnacentral:rRNA from 1 species